UGGGGAAAUUUGGACAAUGGGGGAAACCCUGAUCCAGCCAUCCCGCGUGUGCGAUGAAGGCCUUCGGGUUGUAAAGCACUUUUGGCAGGAAAGAAACGUCAUGGGUUAAUACCCCGUGAAACUGACGGUACCUGCAGAAUAAGCACCGGCUAACUACGUGCCAGCAGCCGCGGUAAUACGUAGGGUGCAAGCGUUAAUCGGAAUUACAGGGCGUAAAGCGUGCGCAGGCGGCUCGGAAAGAAAGAUGUGAAAUCCCAGAGCUCAACUUUGGAACUGCAUUUUUAACUACCGGGCUAGAGUGUGUCAGAGGGAGGGGGAAUUCCGCGUGUAGCAGUGAAAUGCGUAGAUAUGCGGAGGAACACCGAUGGCGAAGGCAGCCACCUGGGAUAACACUGACGCUCAUGCACGAAGGCGUGGGGGGCAAACAGG
rnacentral:rRNA from 1 species